GACAUUGGACUCUCCUUCAGAAACAUCUCCUCCUCAGAACUUUUUGGGAAUUACUCAGUAAUUUCAAUAGCAUCUGCAGAUCCUUGUGCUCCUCCAAAUCCUUUGCUGGCAGGACAAUACAAGAAGUUGAAAAACUGAAAUGUCCUUGGCUCUGUACAGCAUUGCUGAGCAGCAACUAAAACAUUGAUAAGAAGGAUGUACAGCAUCGACAAAUUUUAGAUUUCACGAUUCCACAUUUGAGGCAUUUCAUUUCUACUUCUGGAAUGGUUUAAACAAAAAUCUUCCAAGAACAAAAUAAUUAUUUAUUUGACAAUUACAUGCAUGGGAAAUAUGUAACGUACUUCCGAAGUUAGUCCUUCUUGUUCAUCCUGGUAAUUGAAGAGGAAUUUGAAGACAGCUAUGUGAAUUUCUGAAGACUAAAAUGUUUCAACUUCACCUUGAUGCCAUGAUAGAACAUUGCACAACUGCUUCUUGUGCUGUUGGCCAUUUUGAAUCCAAACCAGCAAAUUCCAAGAUUGCCAACCACUACAUCAGGCUUCCCAGGAACACAUCAAGUCUGGCCUUGAACGCCUCCAGGGAUGGGACAUCCUCAUCUUCUCUGGGAAGACUGUUCCUGGGCCUCACCACUCUCUAAGUGAAGAAUUUCUUCCUAACAUCAAACCUAAACCUCCCCUCUUUCAGUUUAAGUCCCUCUCUCCUUGUGCUAUCACUAUCUACCUGUGUAAAAAGUCAAUCCUCCUCCUGCCUGUAAAGCAGGCUACAUGGGUAACUUGGUGAUCUGUUCUUACUU
ensembl:lncRNA